CCUUGUUGUUCUUACCGAACGAGGUGAAAUCGGCUAUGGGUGAAAUGGGCGAAACAAAUUGGCAAAUUGCUGCUAAUUUAUACUUCUAUUCCUGUAAUUUCAAGUACCGAAUUUAACUUCAUAUCUAAUAUCAGCAUAGCCUACUGUCAGUCAUUCCAACAAGUUGACCAGUAGCGCUGAGUCAAUUUCCAUCCAUUAGAUCCUCAUGCUGUCAAAAGCCUAAAACUCAUGUUUGAAGCCCAGAUAUUGUGGAAUACAAAAUAUGUAUCAAGA